UUCUUAUGACUACAAAUAUGCCAAACUAACUUCCCAAUGACUGCUUUAUUCCAACUAAUAAGGUGCCUGAACCCCAAUCCCAACAUUUGCCUUAGGAGUACAAACUGAAGCCCAUUUCACAAAGCCCUUUUUUUCACCAUCAGGCUUGCCAUUCUGUAAAAAAAUUCUACACACUGAAUUAAUCAUGUGCAUGAUGGAUUGAGGGAGGAGAAAGAUUUGCACCCAGUAGAUAUUUAUGCUAAUAAGAACAAAGUUUAUAAGCUGUGCUCUUCCUAGAAAGGAAAAAGGUUCCUUGUACUCCAUGUUUUGAUCCUAGUGAUCAAUUUUUCAACCAAUAUCUCGCAUUUUGCCUCCUUUAAUUUGUAGAUCUAAUUGGAACACCCAAAUAUCGAAAAGGCGGAUCUUCAGCUUUAAACCCUGACAUCAAAGUAUGUCUACUAACUUCCUGUUCCUCCAUGGCAGUAGUAUAUAUUUCAAUUUUUUUUGUUUGCUUGUAGGCUACUUGAUUUAGUAAAAAGCUUGAUAGCUUGCAGCAACAAAUAAGCAAACUUAACUUCUCCUUUACAAAAGAGAAGUAAAUCAUCUGCAAAGCACAUAUGAUUUACAUUCAAACUAGCACAUCCAAUGAAAUCCUUGAAUUCAUCCAUUUCUACAAUGUAUGUGAGGAUUCUAGUUAGAUGAUCCAUGCACAAAAUAAAUAUUAGGGGAGACAUUGGAUCCCCUUGUCCAACCCUUCUUUUUGCUUCAAAAAAUCCUUCAGUUGCUCCAUUGAUAAGAAGUGUAAAUUUAGGGGUAGUUAUGCAUUCCAUGGCCCGGUUUAUGAAAUGAGUAGGGAAAUUCGAGGCUGUUAAAAGUUGACAAAUAAAAUCCCACUCAAUGGAAUCAUAUGCGUUUCUAAUAUCCAAUUUCAUCAAAAUGCCGGUCACCUUAUUAUUCUUCCUUCCAAAACGUUUCACCAGGUCUUGACACAAAAAGAUAUUGCUAAUGAUGCUCCUACCAUUUAUGAAAGCACCUUGAUUAUGUGAGACUAGCUCAGGUAGGAUGUUGCUCCAUCUAGUGCAUAUUAGCUUGGUGAUGACCUUGUACAAGACUGAACAUCAGGCAAUAGGUGUAUAAUCACCAAAUGCUGCAGGGCUGGUGAUUUUAGGGAUUUAGGUUAUUGCAGUCACAUUUAUUUCUUUCAAGAUUUUUCCACUCUGAAAAAACUCCUGAAUUGCCUUCACUAUAUCUCCUCCUACUAUGCUCCAGCUUUUCUUGAUGAAACGGCUUGUGAAACCAUCCAAGCCAGGUGAUUUAUCAUCUGGAAAAGAGAAUAAUACAUAUUUAAUCUCUUCAGUAUUAAAGUUCAACUUCAGCAAGGCUUGUUGGUCAUCAUUCAGGAACUUUCCUUUGGCUAUGAUAGCUGCUUCAAUCUUCUAUGUAUCUUUCCUACUCCCAAGUAAAUCAUGAUAGAAGUCAAGGAAAGCCUUCAUCACCUCUGGAGAAUUAUGAACCCAAGUACCAUCUUCUUUCCUUAUGGUAUUUAUUAUGUUUUUGGUUCUUUUUAAUUUAAUACUCUGGUGAAAGAUUUUUGUGUUAUCAUCACCUUCUCUAAGCUAUAUGAUCUUGACUUUUUGACGGAGAAAGCUUGCAUAAUUCUUGUGAGCAACUCUAGAAGUUGUUGUGACUUCUUUUUCUUGAGUUCUAAGCCUCAUGUCCUUAGAGUGAUCAUGUAGCAAGUUUUUGAGCUUCAAGCAGUUGAUGAUGGAAGUGAGAAUAAACCACUGACACAUCACCAAAUAGAGAUUUAUUGAACUACUUAAACUCCUGCUUCGAUAUUUUGAGCCUACUGACCACUUGGAACAUCAUGCUUGCUGAUAUGUAUACUGCUGCCAGGUCUAUUGGACAACUUCCAUGAAUUGACUAUGCUGGCACCACAUAUUGAAAAAACGAAAAAGACUUUUUUUGUUUUCAUCUUUGUAGGACUUAAUGAGUAGAGGGCAUUGGUCAUAAUCUGUUGUUUCAUGUAAAAAACUGCCUUGAAGACUUAACUUCCAUCAUCUUGCAGCUUUGCAUACAUCUUUGCCCAUCCUUUACUCUAACAGGCUGGCCCAUCCUCUCUCCAAUGUUCAUUAUUACAUUGAAGUCUCCUAAAAUAAUCUAAGGCUUAUUAUGAAGAUUAAACCCCACCAACUCAUUCCACAUAGUCCUCCUUCCUUGCUUAUCAUUCAACCCAUAAACAAAUGUACAGUAAAACUCCUAGGGCAAACAUUGUUGGUGGUCAUACACCAUCCAGGACAAACAUUAAGGUAGAAAUCUCCUAGGGCAACAACUUUCACCUUAGUUUCAAGAAGACUAAACAGCCUAAUUUUAUGAGAAAUAAUGAUACUUCUCACCUCAUUUUGUUUCUUUCUGCUGUUUAGUCCUCUCACAUUCCAUGAAAGGAUGUUUUCCAUUCAUGUUAGGAGGCUCCCCCCCGCCCCCCCCUCACCAUGAACCACAUUGUUAUGCAACUCCCAUGUGUAUUACUCAGAUCAUCUGUAUUCUCAACCUCUUGCAAUACAUCAAAAGAGUUUCCCACUAACACUAGUUCCCUUGAUUGUUGUUGCACAAUUACAUGCCUAUGAGCCUCCUGGAACCCAGUUUGAUUUGGUUGUACCUUUUUCUUAGGUACCCACUUCUUCUAAACCACUGUAUGUUGUUGCUUCUUACAAUCAAUUACACAUGUCCAAUAUUAUGACAAAAUGAACAUUGCAAGGGAUUCCAUUCAUAAACUACAUAUUGUUUCUUUUGUGCACCCUUCUCAUCUUCAAAUUCAAUCCAUUAUGGGAACUUUUAUGUCAUAGUGACUUCUACCAUAACUCUUGCAUACUGCAGUCUAUCCUUACUAAUGGUGGCUUGAUCCAGCUUAAUCAACUUGCCUAUGUCUCCCACUAGUUUGGACAAACAUCUUUCCCUCUAAUAUUUCAAGUCAAGAGCAGGUGAAAUUGGUCUACAAAAUUCCUCAAAUUCAGGCAACAAUGGUCGAGAUUGAUGAUUACCUGAUGCAACUGCAUCCAAUCUACUAUGCGCUUUCUUCAUGAUUGUUAACCAAUCUGAUAAUUGCGCUUUCUCCUUAUGUUGAUUCUGCAAUUGUUCCAAAAAAGUUCUUGGAGAAAUGGGUUCCUCAAAUUCCUGGGUUUGAACUUGCAACAUAUCAAUUCCAUGAAGUUCUACUACAUAUUAGUGUUUUUGACUAGUGACAGGACUAGUCGGACUAGUGACAGGACUAGUCGGACCUUUCUUCUUCUCAUUCGAAUUACUCUUGCUUUGUGAUUUCUUCACUUUUUCCCUCCAGGUUUUCCUGCCAUGGCGACGGUGUAUGUUAAGGGUUUCUCUUAAUGUACACCGAGAGAGAAACCAAGGCGCGAAACUCCAUUCAAUUUAUUUUUGCUAAUAUGAACUUAUUAGAAUUUAUUUAAACUUAUCUAAACUUAUUAAAUAUUAUUAGUCAUUAUUAUACCUUAAUUAUAUGAACUUAUUAGACCUUA